rnacentral:rRNA from 1 species
UACAGAGGGGGCAAGCGUUAUUCGGAAUUAUUGGGCGUAAAGGGCGCGUAGGCGGCUUUUCAAGUGACGGGUGAAAUCCCUCGGCUUAACCGAGGAACUGCCUGUCAGACUGGAAGGCUUGAGACCGGGAGAGGUGAGUGGAAUUCCCAGUGUAGCGGUGAAAUGCGUAGAUAUUGGGAGGAACACCAGUGGCGAAGGCGGCUCACUGGACCGGAACUGACGCUGAGACGCGAAAGCUAGGGGAGCGAACGGG